GGCCGUCUGGCGCAAUGGCAGCGCGUCCGCCUACGAUGCAAUUUCAUGUCCUGUUCAGGGAUUGAACCUGCAAUCGAGAGCGGGAGGCUGCAGGUUCAACCCCUGCGUCGGUCA